rnacentral:rRNA from 1 species
AUUGAACGCUGGCGGCAGGCUUAACACAUGCAAGUCGAGCGGAGAUGAGGUGCUUGCACCUUAUCUUAGCGGCGGACGGGUGAGUAAUGCUUAGGAAUCUGCCUAUUAGUGGGGGACAACAUUCCGAAAGGAAUGCUAAUACCGCAUACGCCCUACGGGGGAAAGCAGGGGAUCUUCGGACCUUGCGCUAAUAGAUGAGCCUAAGUCGGAUUAGCUAGUUGGUGGGGUAAAGGCCUACCAAGGCGACGAUCUGUAGCGGGUAUGAGAGGAUGAUCCGCCACACUGGGACUGAGACACGGCCCAGACUCCUACGGGAGGUAGCAGUGGGGAAUAUUGGACAAUGGGCGGAAGCCUGAUCCAGCCAUGCCGCGUGUGUGAAGAAGGCCUUUUGGUUGUAAAGCACUUUAAGCGAGGAGGAGGCUACCUGGAUUAAUACUCUAGGAUAGUGGACGUUACUCGCAGAAUAAGCACCGGCUAACUCUGUGCCAGCCGCCGCUGUAAGAC